rfam:Phenylobacterium sp. RIFCSPHIGHO2_01_FTLL_69_31 rifcsphigho2_01_scaffold_1489, whole genome shotgun sequence.
GCGGAUGUGGCGGAAUUGGUAGACGCACUGGAUUUAGGUUCCAGCGCCGCAAGGCGUGGAGGUUCGACUCCUCUCAUCCGCA